AUUGAACGCUGGCGGCAUGCCUUACACAUGCAAGUCGAACGGCAGCACGGGGGCAACCCUGGUGGCGAGUGGCGAACGGGUGAGUAAUACAUCGGAACGUGCCCAAUAGUGGGGGAUAGCUCGGCGAAAGCCGGAUUAAUACCGCAUAAGACCUGAGGGUGAAAGCGGGGGAUCGCAAGGCCUCGCGCUAAUGGAGCGGCCGAUGUCAGAUUAGGUAGUUGGUGGGGUAAAGGCCCACCAAGCCGACGAUCUGUAGCUGGUCUGAGAGGACGACCAGCCACACUGGGACUGAGACACGGCCCAGACUCCUACGGGAGGCAGCAGUGGGGAAUUUUGGACAAUGGGCGAAAGCCUGAUUCAGCCAUGCCGCGUGCGGGAAGAAGGCCUUCGGGUUGUAAACCGCUUUUGUCAGGGAAGAAAUGUUCCGGGCUAAUACCCUGGGAAGAUGACGGUACCUGAAGAAUAAGCAUCGGCUAACUACGUGCCAGCAGCCGCAGUAAAAC
rnacentral:rRNA from 1 species